CAAUAGAGGCGCGAAGGUUAUGAGUAUCUGUCCGGAGACCGCGGAGUCACUGAAAGAUCGAGAAAGGAACAUUCGCCGAAACAUGCAGUUUCCGCAGGCUGCAGCAGUUGGGGUACAGUCGAACAGGCUGUGCACUCUCACCGCAUGGUGGAGGAGCUAU
rnacentral:ncRNA from 1 species